UUUCAACGGAGAGUUUGAUCCUGGCUCAGGAUGAACGCUGGCGGCGUGCUUAACACAUGCAAGUCGAACGAUGAUGCCCAGCUUGCUG
rnacentral:rRNA from 1 species